rnacentral:rRNA from 1 species
GACGAACGCUGGCGGCGUGCUUAACACAUGCAAGUCGAACGAAGAGCGAUGGAAGCUUGCUUCUAUCAAUCUUAGUGGCGAACGGGUGAGUAACGCGUAAUCAACCUGCCCUUCAGAGGGGGACAACAGUUGGAAACGACUGCUAAUACCGCAUACGAUCCAAUCUCGGCAUCGGGACUGGAUGAAAGGUGGCCUCUAUUUAUAAGCUAUCACUGAAGGAGGGGAUUGCGUCUGAUUAGCUAGUUGGAGGGGUAACGGCCCACCAAGGCGAUGAUCAGUAGCCGGUCUGAGAGGAUGAACAGCCACAUUGGGACUGAGACACGGCCCAGACUCCUACGGGAGGCAGCAGUGGGGAAUCUUCCGCAAUGGACGAAAGUCUGACGGAGCAACGCCGCGUGAGUGAUGACGGCCUUCGGGUUGUAAAGCUCUGUUAAUCGGGACGAAUGGUUCUUGUGCGAAUAGUGCGAGGAUUUGACGGUACCGGAAUAGAAAGCCACGGCUAACUACGUG